rnacentral:lncRNA from 10 species
GGGAUUUUGCUGUGUUGCCCAGGCUGGUCUUGAACUUCUGGGCUCAAGUGAUCCUCUCUCCAAAGUGCUGGGAUUACAGACGUGAGCCACCACACCCAGGCUUGUUCACUUUAGUGGAAAUAUUAUUUUAUCAGAGAUGUCUUCUUAACCCCUGAUGAUGUUAGGAACCCCUUAUGAAAUGCCUUUAUUAGCCCCUCAUACCACAAAUGUAUUCACAGGUAUUUUCCCUGGGCCAUUUUUUUAAUAAUGUAUUGAGCACCUACCACAUUGCCAAGCACUAUGUUAGAAGCUGACUACAGAGUAGUAAAUACAAUAAUAAAUUGAGACUUAUGUUUUGUAUGUCUUUAGGUUUUCUUACCUAAUUUUUCUAUUAAUUCAUUUUUAUGGCAUUUUUUAAAAGUAUUGAUCUGUGAUGGCUACUGAAUUUUAAAAAAAAUUGUCUUUUACCACAGAUAGUUUGAGAAAUAUUGAAUUAUAGCACAUUCAUUGUUUGCUAACUAAUUACAAUCUAAUUUUUCUUGGUCCAUUUUUUAAAGGAGGCAGUGCUUGAGAAAGAGUUGAAGGGAUAGUCCAUUUUUGUUAAAUAAGCAUACAGUGUUAGAUCAUGUGUAAAACUGACUUUAAUUUAUUAAUUUACUUUUGUGUUAUUUCAGGAAAUAAAAAGAACUCAACUACAAAUUACAGGGGCACAGCAGAAAGUGUGAAUGCUGGUGCAAACCUACAGAAUUAUGGUGAAACUUCUCCAGAUGCCAUCAGUACAAAUUCAGAGGGUGCUCAGGAAAAUCAUGAUGACCUGAUGUCCGUUGUGGUAUUUAAAAUUACUGGUGUUAAUGGGGAAAUUGACAUCCGA